rnacentral:rRNA from 1 species
GACGAACGCUGGCGGCGUGCCUAACACAUGCAAGUCGAACGAGGAAUAUUAGGAGCUUGCUCCUAAUAUACCUAGUGGCGGACGGGUGAGUAACGUGUGAGUAACCUGCCUGUAUGAGGGGGAUAACACAUCGAAAGGUGUGCUAAUACCGCGUAAGGUAUAUUUAUCGCAUGAUAGAUAUAUUAAAGGAGUAAUCCGCAUACAGAUGGACUCGCAUCUGAUUAGCUAGUUGGUGAGAUAACAGCCCACCAAGGCGACGAUCAGUAGCCGAACUGAGAGGUUGAUCGGCCACAUUGGGACUGAGACACGGCCCAGACUCCUACGGGAGGCAGCAGUGGGGGAUAUUGCGCAAUGGGGGAAACCCUGACGCAGCAACGCCGCGUGAAGGAUGAAGGUCUUCGGAUUGUAAACUUUUGUCUUAUGUGAAGAAAAAGGACGGUAGCAUAGGAGGAAGCCACGGCUAACUACGUGCCAGCAGCCGCAGUAAGAC